CCUUCAUCUUGAUUACAAGGUAUUGAAUAAGGUUUUAAUUGAAUGCUAAAAGAAUGGAAUAUCAAAGAAUAACUUUCUUAAAAUUAAAAAUUGAAAUUUUUUUAAUUUGUGUAAAAACAAUUAUAUAAAUUAAAGACAAGAAGACCCUAAGAAUUUUUAAAAUUUAAAUUAACACAUUUUUGUUUUAAUUAAAUUUUAACUGGGGCGGUUAAAAAAUAUUAAAAACUUUUUAAUUUUGAAAAUGACCCAUUAUUAAUGAAAAUAUGAUAAAAUACUCUAGGGAUAACAGCGUUAUAUUUUUUGAUAGAUCAUAUUGACAAAAAAGUUUGCGACCUCGAUGUUGGAUUAGGAUACUUUUUUAAUGAAGAUAUUAAAAUAAGAAGUUUGUUCAACUUUUAAAUUCCUACUUGAUCUG
rnacentral:rRNA from 1 species